rnacentral:rRNA from 1 species
AUUGAACGCCGGCGGCGGGCUUAACACAUGCAAGUCGAGCGGGGGAAGGUAGCUUGCUACCGGACCUAGCGGCGGACGGGUGAGUAAUGCUUAGGAAUCUGCCUAUUAGUGGGGGACAACAUCUCGAAAGGGAUGCUAAUACCGCAUACGUCCUACGGGAGAAAGCAGGGGAUCUUCGGACCUUGCGCUAAUAGAUGAGCCUACGUCGGAUUAGCUAGUUGGUGGGGUAAAGGCCUACCAAGGCGACGAUCUGUAGCGGGUCUGAGAGGAUGAUCGGCCACACUGGGACUGAGACACGGCCCAGACUCCUACGGGAGGCAGCAGUGGGGAAUAUUGGACAAUGGGGGGAACCCUGAUCCAGCCAUGCCGCGUGUGUGAAGAAGGCCUUAUGGUUGUAAAGCACUUUAAGCGAGGAGGAGGCUACUCUAGUUAAUACCUAGGGAUAGUGGACGUUACUCGCAGAAUAAGCACCGGCUAACUCUGUGCCAGCAGCAGCCGCCG